CUCUGUUCAUUUGGUAGAUACUAACCAUGUGUGGUUUCAUACAUGACUAGAGUGACAGGAAUUUCUAAUAUUAUUUAAUUAUUAUUAAUUUAAAUUUAAAUAAAGCAUAUAUGGCUAUUGGAUAUGUUAUUGGACAGUGACAACACUAGAGGUUCUUAUAAAUUACUUCACUAACUCUCAAUUUACAGAGGUUAUAUAUUUGUAAGUAUUCUGAAAGACUCUGAAUUAUAGAUAUAUAUGGGGUAUUAAAAAUCUUUAUUAAAUAUGAUAUUUAUUUAUUCAUUUUCUUACAAUGGCUACCUCUGUGGCCAUGUAUUCUUUAAAUAAACAUAAGGGGAAAUUUCCUUCUAAAACACGUUAUAAUUUUUACAUGAAAAAACACUUUUUUGUGUUUUUAUGUAUUGCAUAUGGAAACAAAAAUAACAAAAAGUUACCAACAAAAUCAGUUUGAAAUAAUAAACCUGAUGUAGGCACUAACACAUCUAUUAACCAUGCUAUAAUUGUAUGCAAUUGCAAUCACUGAAAUUUAAUGUCUCUUGUCUUAUACUCUCAGGAUUUAUGCUUCUGAUAAUAAUCAAAUAUAUUGUAUAUAGAUCAUGUGUAGCAUGCAGACUAAUUUUUCAUGAAUCAAAUAAAGAAAGGUUGCCAAAGUGAGAGACAAACAUUUGGACCUUAACUCACAUUUUCAAAGAAAAUGUCAGGAUAUAUUAAACUUACGUGCCUGAUCAAUAGUAACAUUUUUCUCUGUAGAUAUGUGAUACUAAUUGAUAGCAGACACACAUCAGACAUAGAGGAGCCAAAAACAACAAUUAUUAUCAUAAAAAUUCUUUAGAGACAAUGGCUUAGGGGGAGCUAAUGGAGCAGUUAAUGUAUUUGCUUGUCACUCCCUCCCUGAGCCAAUUUGUAAGAUCCCAUCUGCUGGGCAGUUGGGAUUUGCAGUGUCUUUCUACUAGCCUAAAGGUUAAGGAGAAGAAAUAAAAAAAAUAAAUAAAAUCAUAAGAAUUAUGGCUUUUAAGUAUGUCAGAUCCAUGGGUCCAGGAAAACAUGAACACAAGUCUAUUGCUACUAAGCAGGUAUCUCAUUCCUCCUUUUGGGGGGAAAAUUACUAAAGAAUAUGCACCAGAUCAGGGACAAUUACACUAAAAACAUCCUUAUACAUGGAAAUAAGGGAUAUUAUGGGUUCAAUUGUGCCCCCUGUGUCAAUGAUGACAUCCUAAUUCCCAGUACCUCAAAAUAUAGCCCUAUUUGGAAGUAGAGUCUUUAGAGUGUGGCCAUUAGAAUGGGCCCUAAUCCAAUAUGAUUGGGUCCUGAUAAAAAUGGGGAAUUUGGACACAGAAAUAGACACAAAGAGAGAAGACAACCUGAAUGACAGAGCAAGUGCAAAAUGAAGAUUCAUGUUAUGCUGCCAUAAAUCAAGGUAUAUCUGAGGCUGCAAGAAGCUGCACAGGGCAAGGAAGUACCCUUUCCCAGCACAUUCAGAAGGCACAUGUCACUGCCUACACCUUAAUAGUGGAUUUUAGCCUCCAGAAUUCUGAGACAGUAAGUCUUUUGUUAUACAGAAGCCCUCAGAUACUAAUAAAGAAGUCAAGCCCAACUUCCCUAUGGCCAAAGAAAAAUGUUAUACUUUUUGAAUAGUAAACAAAACAUAAACUAGGUUGUUCAAGAUGCAAACAUUAAAUACUUUUGGAAGCAACUUUAUCAAAAGCAUAUUUCAAACAAUUUUCACUAGGAGUUACUUUGAUUCUUCUCUUUGCUGUCAUGUUUUUAUGAAGCUUGCAAAAGGUAUAAUGGUUGUAGCCUGGUCUCUUGCUUACCCAUGAAUUAACCACCAUGAUUACAUCUUUACCCUUGGAAAUGCUAAAAAGAGUUAGCCUACCAGAAUGAUAGAGUGUAACUCAUUUGUUUGGAGUAUUUCAGGUAGAGUUGAAUUAUGCUGCUCUAGCCUAUGGGUGCUUUCUAAAGAUGGCAGAACAAGUGGUCCCUACUUAAUGACGUCUCAUCCAAUCAGAGAAACAAGAUGGUAAAAAUGGAAGGAAUAAGAGGAAUUAUGGCAAUUUUAGCAGUCUUUAAGUUUUGAAUAUUCUCUAAUGUCUCACAUUCUAAAUUAUAUCCCCUUGACCCCAUGUAACUUUCUAGUUCUUGAACCAUUUCUCUAGUGCUCUUCAUAGUUAAACUAAAAAGACUAUUUGCCAGCACAUGCUGUCCCCACUUUCAAAAUUCCAAUUACUAUAUAAUUGAAUGCAAUCAGGCCUGUGCCAUGACAACUAUUGAAACUAUUUGUCAAAAUCACAGUAUUGUCAAGUAAUCUUUCCUUAUGAUGGACAAUAAAAUAUGGUAAGAUUUAGUUCCCAAUUAAAUUAACAAUCUCAUUUCAUCCCAUUGUAUUUCUCAUUCCUUCAAAUCAAAUACACUGGACUCCUAUUUGUUUUAUCUAACAUAAAAAAAUUUCUCUUCUGUUUCUAAAAUGGACUUCACAUGGAGGCUCUUUCUCAGCUUUCAGAUUUGGCUCAUAUGUCAGUCACUGCAGUGAGUCCUUACUAAUCAAUAGAAAAUUGAAGGCCUUUUCUUUCUUCCUUUUCGUCAUUGUUCUUUAAUCAUUUCCUUCCCUUUUACUACAACUUGCAGUUAUAUAUUUGUUUUCUUAUUAAUAUUUUAUGACUCCUAUUAUAUUGUAAACCACACAGGUUCAGAAUGUACAUUCUUUCAAAAAACAAUAUAACCCUAGUUCUUAUCCCAUUGGAUGGUAUAUGAUAUAGUAAUAUUUAUUUAUUAAAUAGGUAUAUGCUCUUUUCUUCUAGCUGCCAUUAACUUAUGUUAGUUCUAUCAACUGCCAUCUCUGUGUUGCUAAAUUACAAAUUUCACAUUUGGAGGGAAGACAGUUCUAUGUAAUCUAUUAUCAAGCUGUGUGGUCAAAGGGUACAGUUCACGUAAAGGGGAUGUGACCUACAUGUUAGGUUCUUCUGGAGAAAAGAGAAAUGUUGCUAGCCAGAAAGUGUCCAAAAUGAGUGAUAACAAAUACAGUUUGGAAAUUUUCUACAAGAAAAGAUUAAAUGUAGGUAAGGACCUACCCCUACCUUUAAAAAUGACUAUCUGGGAGUUCCCGUUGUGGCGCAGUGGUUAACGAAUCCGACUAGGAACCACGAGGUUGCAGGUUCGGUCCCUGCCCUUGCUCAGUGGGUUAACGAUCCGGUGUUGCCGUGAGCUCUGGUGUAGGUUGCAGAUGUGGCUCGGAUCUCGAGUUGCUGUGGCUCUGGCGUAGGCCGGUGGCUAAAGUUCCGAUUCGACCCCUAGCCUGGGAACCUCCAUAUGCCGCUGGAACAGCCCAAGAAAUU
rnacentral:lncRNA from 1 species